rnacentral:rRNA from 1 species
CACGUAGUUGGCCGGUGCUUCUUCUCCACCUACCGUCACCCAACUAAACGUCGAGCUUCGUCGAUGAUGAAAGAGGUUUACAACCCGAAGGCCGUCAUCCCUCACGCGGCGUUGCUGGAUCAGGCUUCCGCCCAUUGUCCAAUAUUCCCCACUGCUGCCUCCCGUAGGAGUCUGGGCCGUGUCUCAGUCCCAGUGUGGCCGGUCACCCUCUCAGGCCGGCUACCCGUCGAAGCCUUGGUAGGCCCAUUACCCCACCAACAAGCUGAUAGGCCGCGAGCACAUCCCCCACCCACAAAAGUUUCCACCAACACCCCAUGCGGAGAUCGGUCGUAUCCGGUAUUAGACACCAUUUCUAGUGCUUAUCCCAGAGUGAGGGGCAGAUUACUCACGUGUUACUCACCCGUUCGCCGCUCGUGUACACCGAAGUGCCUUACCGCUCGACUUGCAUGUGUUAAGCACGCCGCCAGCGUUCGUCCUGAGCCAGGAUCAAACUCU